CUCCCGGGAGCCGAUUGGCUGGGUGCCGCCGGAGCCCCGCCCCUGCCCAGGUAGCGGGUUGGGAGGGGGGCUCCCCCCGCGGGAGCCACCUCUGGGCGGAGAUCCGGCUCCCCGAGGGCACCUGCGCCACGUAACCCCCUACAGCCGCGGGGACGCCGAAAGCCGUUACCGAGCGUCCUCUGUGCAUCAGGUUCUGCGUCAGACCCUUCCCAGACGCCACGUCCACACACCUUACCGGACGGCGCGCCCAGGCGCGAGUCACCUGCUGGCGGCGGCUCCUGGGGACAGACGCACCAGGACACGCGGUUUCUAUGUAGGGCCCCCUCUCCGAGGCUUACCUGCUAUACCUGCGGAGGCCCAGGCGGGCCGCGCAGGAUGCGGAGGCUCCUGGGCGCUGCGCGGGGAGUGCAGGCUCUGGAGCCAGGCCCAGCUGGUUCAACUCCCAGCACGUGCUUCAACCUGCAGUGUGGGCCUGGGCAACUCAGGAGAGCCCGCUGGGACUCAGCGCCUCAUCUGCAGGAUGGAAAAACGACACAGACCUGCCCGACGGCUGUUAUCUCAAGGCCAAAGGGUGGUCAUUCUCACCCUUGUCCUUAUUCAUGUUCACGUUUUGCACUUAACCUUUUGAAAACACCUGUUACGAGCCAAGUGCCGUGCUAGAUCUUGCAGACGCAGAGGAUGAUAGAUACAUCUUUAACAAUUUAAAGCAGAUGCUCCCCCUUCACAGUUUGACGUCUGGAGCACAAACUCUUCACAAGGCAAAAUGUCAGAGCAUUGCCGCCGCCGGGCGCCACCGGCUACUGACUGCCCGUGGGGAGGCAGCCGGGAGCCCCUGAACUAACCCAAGUGUAAGUGAAGUUGGCAUGGGGAGCCGGUGAACCCUUCUAAGGCAGAUGCCUCGAUUCCCGUUGUGAGCUCACCAAGAAUGGGCGUUGCCUCCUAUGGGCUUUAUCUCCUUGGGUCCGGAACCACACCUUUCUUUCAUUCAUGUAUUCACUCAUUGAACAAACAUUGACUACACAUAAAUACGAAUUUGCACCCCCUGACCCAGGGUCUGGAGCAGAGGGAAACUUCCAGCUCUACUCAAGUGCACCAGCUUAAUUCAUCCAGCCAGUAUUUGCACCACACUCAAAGUAUCUGUCUCCCGAGAAAUCGACACGAUGCCAAUAUUUAGUUCAGCGGAGUGGAAUGUUCAUUUCAUGAACAGGUGCAGAACUCCCUGAGCCAGGCACGGUCCAGGUUUGGGGAACACAGAGCUGUUGAAAAUACUGCUUCCCCCAGUUCGCAGCCUGGAGGGGAGAAGAGAAACAGACCAUCACAAUGUCUGUUACAAAUGUCAUGUUGCAAGUAUGUAACUGAGUGCGCGGGACCCCACAGUCCGGGAGAACCAACUCUUCAGCCGGCAUCACAGAACGGGCUUCACAAAGGAGGUGACAUCAGAGCUGCAUCUGGAAGGAUGAGUGGUUUACCAGGCACAGAAGGGAGAAGCCCAAUUGGUACGGCUCCAGGAAAGUGAGAUCCCAGAUUUCACCAUUUAUAUGCAUGCAUUCAUUCAUCUCCCCCAGAUGGCAAAACCAGUCAGAGGAAAAUUCUUCACUGUGUUGAUCAGACGGAGCCCAUCGUAAAAAUGCCCAGGGGAAGGGCCCAGAGAGGUAGCUCAAAGUCUCCGAGGGCUUGGCUGGAGCCCAGCCCUCACCUCUACCUUGACCUUGGGCGAGGCCCGUAGCCCGUACUGAGCCUCGUAUCCUCAUCUGGCAGUCAGGGAUGAUGGCGGCCACCCGAACCAGCACGCGGGGCCUUCCGGAGACUCGCGACAGGAAAUGAGACGUGACUGCCCCGGACCCACACUGGGCGGGCUCCCUGCCGGGUCACCAUUUCCCUCUGUGAACGGUGCUUUCUCGCAGUCGCUAUAAACGUAGACUCUGGAGCUGGGCGGUCUGCUUCAAACCCUGGUGGGGCUUCUUUUUGCCAUGGCUGUGUGCUCUCAGGCAAGUUGCUUGCACUCUCUGGGCCUCGGUUUCCUCGUUCCUGAAGCGAGGGUGAUAGUGCUGCCUCAGAGGGUGGCUGUGAGGGUGAAGUGAGCCGGGAAAGACGUACAGGAGGUCAUUGCUAGCGGAAGUCGUCUCAUCUGGGCCUGGCCCAACCCCCUGGGGGGGAUCGGGAUUGGUCCCAGUCCACUGCCUGUUCUCAUCAGUGCCACGUAGGGGACCGCGUGUGGGGUCUUCUGGAACUUUCCUCUGUGGCAAACGAGAGAGCUGUGCGGGGAGAGAGCCCGGCCACCGCCCUUUCCCGUUUGCAGCUUGUCCUGGAGGACGUGUGGCCGGGUGCCGUGACAGCCGUCUUGAGCCCACAGGACGUCUUGAGACAGUGCCCAGCGUGUUUCCAGACAGGGGUUUCUUCCCAAAAUCUCUCGGAAAGGUCGUGUGUUCCCCAACCCCAACGAGCCAGAAAGACCGAUCAAGGAAUCCAGAAAAAGGGAAAGGUAGAUGAUGGCUCUCCUUGUGGAGUUAAACUUGAUCGCCACGCGGAGGCCAGUGGCCCGUCAGAUCAAAGCAAGGAUGGGAAACGCUGCCACGCGAACUGAAGGGCAGGGUUGAGAGCUCAGAGCUGGAGAGAAGUGGCGUUUGGGGCACACGCAAACGGCACCAACCUCCGUUGCUCGCCGCUGGGCCUUCACACCAUAAGCGCCCGCUCUUGGCCCGGCCUCUGCCGCUGAUGAGUUGUCCUUGCACGUGAGUUAAAUAUGAACGCGUUUACACACGCGGUAUGCUUCAAACAGAUCCUGUGAGUGGUUUGCUACGGAAGAAGCAGCUGCAGUGCUCAACUGGUUAUUUCAGGGCGUAUGUCGUGCCGGUCGGCUUGCUGGGAGACCUAAACGGCACGUUACUCGAAUCCACUCCGUGACACUCGCUGGCAUCCGGCAGCGUUCAAAGAGUCACGGCGGGCUACCGUGCCUUGUCACGCACAUGAAAUACUUGUGUUGGGGCGCCUGGGUGGCUCAGUCGGUUGGGCGUCCGACUUCAGCCAGG